CCUACGGGUGGUAGCAGUGGGGAAUAUUGGACAAUGGGGGCAACCCUGAUCCAGCCAUGCCGCGUGUGUGAAGAAGGCCCUCGGGUUGUAAAGCACUUUCAGUGAGGAAGAACGCCUGGUGGUUAAUACCCAUCAGGAAAGACAUCACUCACAGAAGAAGCACCGGCUAACUCCGUGCCAGCAGCCGCGGUAAUACGGAGGGUGCGAGCGUUAAUCGGAAUUACUGGGCGUAAAGCGCGCGUAGGUGGCUUGAUAAGCCGGUUGUGAAAGCCCCGGGCUCAACCUGGGAACGGCAUCCGGAACUGUCAAGCUAGAGUGCAGGAGAGGAAGGUAGAAUUCCCGGUGUAGCGGUGAAAUGCGUAGAGAUCGGGAGGAAUACCAGUGGCGAAGGCGGCCUUCUGGACUGACACUGACACUGAGGUGCGAAAGCGUGGGUAGCAAACAGGAUUAGAUACCCCAGUAGUC
rnacentral:rRNA from 1 species